UACGUAGGUGACAAGCGUUGUCCGGAUUUACUGGGCGUAAAGAGCGCGCAGGCGGUCGAUCAAGUCGAGUGUGAAAGCCCCCGGCUCAACUGGGGAGGGUCAUUCGAUACUGAUCGACUGGAAGGCAGGAGAGGGUAGUGGAAUUCCCGGUGUAGUGGUGAAAUGCGUAGAUAUCGGGAGGAACACCAGUGGCGAAGGCGACUACCUGGCCUGUUCUUGACGCUGAGGCGCGAAAGCUAGGGGAGCAAACGGG
rnacentral:rRNA from 1 species